rnacentral:lncRNA from 1 species
GCCCUCUCCUUCUUUCUCACUUAGAGAGAGAAGUCAUCUUCCACCUUGCUGUGCUCCGGUGACCAGUGGUCGGCGCUGUCUCCGGCGACCGGACUCCGGCGAACGGUGACCGGAUUCCGGCGACCGGUGACCGGAUUCAGGAAACCGGUAACCGAAAUCCGGCGACAGAUGACUGGAAUCCGGAAUCCGGCUAUUAUUGCCCCCCAGUAAUCAUAUUAC